GGGGGCAACCCUGGCGGCGAGCGGCGAACGGGUGAGUAAUACAUCGGAACGUACCCAGGAGUGGGGGAUAACACAUCGAAAGAUGUGCUAAUACCGCAUACGCCCUGAGGGGGAAAGCGGGGGACCGCAAGGCCUCGCGCUGUUGGAGCGGCCGAUGUCGGAUUAGCUAGUUGGUGGGGUAAGGGCCUACCAAGGCGACGAUCCGUAGCUGGUCUGAGAGGAUGAUCAGCCACACUGGGACUGAGACACGGCCCAGACUCCUACGGGAGGCAGCAGUGGGGAAUUUUGGACAAUGGGGGCAACCCUGAUCCAGCCAUUCCGCGUGAGUGAAGAAGGCCUUCGGGUUGUAAAGCUCUUUCGGCAGGAACGAAACGGCGGGCUCUAACAUAGCCUGUCAAUGACGGUACCUGAAGAAGAAGCACCGGCUAACUACGUGCCAGCAGCCGCGGUAAUACGUAGGGUGCGAGCGUUAAUCGGAAUUACUGGGCGUAAAGCGUGCGCAGGCGGUUUUGUAAGACAGCUGUGAAAUCCCCGGGCUUAACCUGGGAACUGCGGUUGUGACUGCAAGACUAGAGUGCGGCAGAGGGGGGUGGAAUUCCACGUGUAGCAGUGAAAUGCGUAGAGAUGUGGAGGAACACCGAUGGCGAAGGCAGCCCCCUGGGUUGACACUGACGCUCAUGCACGAAAGCGUGGGUAGCAAACAGGAUUAGAUACCCUGGUAGUCCACGCCCUAAACGAUGCUAACUAGGUGUUGGGGAAGGAGACUUCCUUAGUACCGUAGCUAACGCGUGAAGUUGGCCGCCUGGGGAGUACGGUCGCAAGAUUAAAACUCAAAGGAAUUGACGGGGACCCGCACAAGCGGUGGAUGAUGUGGAUUAAUUCGAUGC
rnacentral:rRNA from 1 species